CAGCCCUUGACAUGGCAGGACGAUUUCCGGAGACGGAUUUCUUCACUUCGGUGACCUGCACACAGGUGCUGCAUGGCUGUCGUCAGCUCGUGUCGUGAGAUGUUGGGUUAAGUCCCGCAACGAGCGCAACCCUCGCCUUUAGUUGCCAUCAUUUAGUUGGGCACUCUAGAGGGACUGCCGGUGAUAAGCCGGAGGAAGGUGGGGAUGACGUCAAGUCUUCAUGGCCCUUACGGGCUGGGCUACACACGUGCUACAAUGGCGGUGACAGAGGGCAGCUAGUCCGCGAGGACAUGCUAAUCCCUAAAAGCCGUCUCAGUUCGGAUUGCACUCUGCAACUCGAGUGCAUGAAGUUGGAAUCGCUAGUAAUCGUGGAUCAGCACGCCACGGUGAAUACGUUCCC
rnacentral:rRNA from 1 species